UUAUCAAACCCGCAUCCGUUUCCCAAUUGCUUUGGCUUCUCCUAGUUGCCUGGUUUUCAAGCAGCCUAGAGUCGUGUUGUCGGAGAAUUUGGGUGAGAAAGUUACUUCUAUUGGAUUUAAAAAGGUACCAAGGAGGUCAAUAUUGCAGCUCAUGGUAUUUGCUCCAAUAUUUGCAACUGCCAAUACGAUUUUAGCAGCACCAAUGCAGGAGAUGAAUGAACCUGAUGUGGUAAGCAUCCAGGACAUUGAAGCUUCCCAGUGGAGUGAGGAUACAAGGUAAGAUAUCCAUUGCUGCUGACAUGCUUGUUGAAACGAAUGACUUGAUUCAUUCUGUUUAUUAAGGACAUUAGAACUAUGAUACUCUUUUUUCUUUUUCAUUCAUUCCUUUAUCUUUCUACAUAAGCUAUUGAGACGCAUUUUGGCCUGUCAUCUGUUACAAAUCAAGUUACUUCCCAAUUUUGAUGGGAAUGUGGGACAAAUGUAGGAUGGUAUGCAUCUCAUUCCACACAUACAUGCCACCAGAAGUAGCUUUGAAGUAGAAGCACUCAUGUAUUACAUGUACUUGGCUAAAUUCGGUACUUAAUAUACACAUUUGCAUACAAAAAUAAUCUAUGACUUCUGUCUGUACAUGAUUUUUGAACUUGAACUACGACUUAAAAAACUGUCAAAGGGGCAGACACCAGAUACAUUUCUCAAUUUACACUAUGGAGUGGGAAUUUCAGCUAUACUACGUUCAUUUUUCCGUUUAUUUCUUAAAUGUCUGUUUGUCAAACCUCUCUGCAAGAAAUUGUUGAAGGCAAAGGACGGGAAGCAUCUGAGGGUGAUCUUGUGGAAAUAAACUAUGUAUGCCGGCGUUCAAAUGGAUAUUUUGUCCACAGCACGGUCGAUAAAUUUAGUGGAGAAAGUGCUCCUGUUAUACUCUCGCUGGAUGACAAGCAGGUCAAUUCUGUUUCUUCUAUUACAUGAUGUGAGAAUGAUAAAUUAAGUAGGAAGCAUUUACUCAGAACCAUUACUCACUCAUAGCUUUUCGCCAUUGGGUUAAUGACUCCAGAAUUUCCUUUCUGGGCUAGAUUCUUGUUAUGCAUUGUCGUAACUAAUAAAUUGAGUUAUGAUUUUGUCUUGCAAUGGAGAUGCUGACUGGUCGUAACGUUUUCAGUCAAGUAUCUGCUUUGUAACUAGCGCUUUCCCUGCAUCCUGCCGUUUAUAUAACACCAUUACCUGCUUGCGUCCUCUGGGAUUCAGGAUCUGCUACUUGAACCUACAAAAAGAUCCUUGAGAAUCACGUUUCAGAAGUAUUUGCGAAUUUCUUGUAAAGGUUGCUAAUCAAGGUUUUUCUGGUUGUCUAGAUUAUUAAAGGUCUGAAGGAGGUUUUGAUUGGAAUGAAAGCUGGAGGUUUGUUUUACUUGUCGUAGUUUCUGAAGGGGUUUUGUAUGCCAAAAGUCGCAAUUGAAGCGUGUUCAUAUAGUUUGAAAAUAGCCCUUCAAGUCAAUAAUACAUGUUUGAGAAAAGCUUGAUCAUAUUUCGCAGGAAAGAGAAGAGCACUGAUACCUCCUUCUGUCGGUUACAUCAGUGAAAACUUAGCACCUGUCCCGGAAGAGUUUGGGCCUAGGCGGAGUCUUUUGUCUCACGCGAAAGAGCCUUUAAUAUUUGAAGUGCAACUUUUGAAGGUUUUGUGACUUGUGGAGUUUGAUCCUAUCUUUACAUAUAUUUCGCAUAUAAUUGAUGUGGAGCACUAGGCAUACUCGAAUACAACCAUUGGUUAUUUAUGAUGUUGAUCCUGGAAUUGUUAAGUGAUAGUACGUGCUAACAGAAAGGAAACUAGGGGAGGGAGUUAACGGGUAGCAUAUGAUUGAAGAAAAAAGCAAAUGCGCCAGAGGGUUCACGAGCAAAGUCAAGCCGAGACGAGAAAGAUUUAGUAGUAAACCACCCGCCUUUGGACUGGUGGCCACCGUCAAUGCAUUAAAGCUUGGUAGGGUGGGAAGCAAGGAUUCAAACCUUGUCUUCCACCAACUUGUCACAAUUAAAUGUGGCUUUAUUUAAAAAAUUCAAGCGAA